rnacentral:rRNA from 1 species
ACUCCGGUUGAUCCUGCCGGAGAUCACCGCUAUCAGGAUUCGACUAAGACAUGCUAGGUGAAUGUGGUUCGCCCGCAUACCGGACAGCUCAGUAACACGUAGUUAAUCUGCCCUCAGGUGGGGGAUAAACCCGGGAAACUGGGACGAAUACCCCAUAGACUUCGAAUACUGGAAUGUUUCGAAAUUCAAAGCUCCGGCGCCUGAGGAUGAGACUGCGGUGGAUUAGGCUGUUGUUGGUGUAAAGAAAACUUUUUGGAAAAAAGUUUUAUCAAAAAAUUUCCAAUGGUUUUUACUGGACCAACAAACCUAUAAUCCAUAUGGGCGUUGAGAGACGUAGCCCAGAGAUGUGUUCUGAGACAAGAAUACAGACCCUACGGGGUGCAGCAGUCGCGAAACCUUUACAAUGUCUUCACGGACGAUAGGGGAAUCCUGAGUGCCCUAGCAAAGCUAGGGCUUUUACUUACUCCAAAAGGGUAGGUGAAUAAGCAGUGGGCAAGACGGGUGCCAGCCGCCACGGUAAUACCCGCACUGCAAGUGGUGGUCACGUUUAUUGGGUCUAAAGCGUUCGUAGCCGGUUUGACAAAUUCUUGGUGAAAUCCUGUGUAAAACAUAGGAAGUGCCAAGAACACUGCCAGACUAGGAACCGGGAAAAGCUGAGGGUACUCCAGGGGUAGGGGUUAAAUGCCGGACAAGGUUCUUCGCGAACUUUGCGGUCUAACAGUCCUGUAAUCCUUGGAGGACCACCUGUGGCGAAGGCGCUCAGCUGGAACGGCUUCGACGGUGAGGGACGAAAGCCUAGGGAGCGAACGGGAUUAGAUACUGAAACGAAGUUUCAUAUUUAUCCAAACUUCGUUUGGCUAAAUACCCCGGUAGUCUAGGCUGUAAACGAUGCCCGUUUGGUGUAUCGUCUCCUUCGGGGAGGCGAUGUGCCGUAGCGUAGAACCCUUUACUCAGCGCAAAGUUUUGAAACUAAUGUUUCAAAUAUUUGGGACAAAGUCCCAAGACGCUCGCGGAAAGUGGAUGGGUUAAGGUACGCAAGUGUUAAACGGGCCACCUGGGGAGUACGGUCGCAAGACUGAAUUUGAGUAAACCCGCACGAGUUUACUUCAACAGUAAACUUAAGGGAAAGAAGAGAGGAAAUCUCUUCCCCGAAUUGGCGGGGGAGCACCUCAAGGGGUGGAGGCUGCGGUUUAAUUGGAUUCAACGCCAGACAUCUUACCAGGAUUGACAGCAGUAUGACGGUCACUCUGAAGGGGUUACCUGACGAGCUGAGAGGAGUUGCAUGGCCAUCGUCAGCUCGUGCCGUGAGGCGUGCAGUUAAGUCUGUCAACGAGCGAGACCCACGUCCUUAGUUGCUACGUUAUUCUUCGGAGUAGCGGCACUCUAAGGAGACCGCUGGUGAUAAAUCAGAGGAGGGAGUGGGCGACGGUAGGUCUGUAUACAUGAAUAAGGUCUACCGAUUACCGGACUUUCUCAUGGCAGAAGGCCCGAAUAUCCUGGGCUACACGCGGCCUACAAUGGCCAGGACAAUAGGUUGCAACACCGAAAGGUGGAGCUAAUCCCUGAAACCUGGUCCAAGUUCGGAUCGAGGGUUGAAACUCACCCUCGUGAAGCCGGAAUCCCUAGUAAGCGAAAGUCACUAAGCAAACCCUUUUCCGCUUCGCGCAAAAGCGUUUACGGAAAAUUCGGAAAAUGCGUGGAAUCUUUCGCUGAAUACGACCCUGCUCCUUGCACACACCGCCCAUCAAGCCAUCCGAGUGGAGUUUUGGUGAGGCUUUUCUUUUCUUAGGAAAGUCGAAUCACGGUUCCGCAAGGCGGGCUAAGUUGUAACAAGGUAGCCGUAAAGACGGGAGAAUACCACAU